rnacentral:rRNA from 1 species
ACUCAAAGGAAUUGACGGGGGCCCGCACAAGCAGUGGAGCAUGUGGUUCAAUUCGAUGCAACGCGAAGAACCUUACCUGGGUUUGAAAAGCUCUGUAAACCGGUGAAAGCCGGCUAGUGUAGCAAUACACGCGGAGUACAGGUGCUGCAUGGCUGUCGUCAGCUCGUGCCGUGAGGUGUUAGGUUAAGUCCUGCAACGAGCGCAACCCCUGCACUUAGUUGCCAUCAGGUCAAGCUGGGCACUCUAAGUGGACUGCCUGCGCAAGCAGCGAGGAAGGUGGGGAUGACGUCAAGUCCUCAUGGCCCUUACACCCAGGGCCACACACGUGCUACAAUGGCCGCUACAACGGGCAGCGAAAGAGUAAUCUCAAGCUAAUCCCUGAAAAGCGGUCUCAGUUCGGAUUGAGGGCUGCAACUCGCCCUCAUGAAGCUGGAAUUGCUAGUAAUCGCGGAUCAGCACGCCGCGGUGAAUACGUUCCCGGGCCUUGUACACACCGCCCGU